rnacentral:rRNA from 1 species
GACGAACGCUGGCGGCGUGCUUAACACAUGCAAGUCGAACGGAAAGGCCCUGCUUUUGUGGGGUGCUCGAGUGGCGAACGGGUGAGUAACACGUGAGUAACCUGCCCUUGACUUUGGGAUAACUUCAGGAAACUGGGGCUAAUACCGGAUAGGAGCUCCUGCUGCAUGGUGGGGGUUGGAAAGUUUCGGCGGUUGGGGAUGGACUCGCGGCUUAUCAGCUUGUUGGUGGGGUAGUGGCUUACCAAGGCUUUGACGGGUAGCCGGCCUGAGAGGGUGACCGGCCACAUUGGGACUGAGAUACGGCCCAGACUCCUACGGGAGGCAGCAGUGGGGAAUGUUGCACAAUGGGCGGAAGCCUGAUGCAGCAACGCCGCGUGCGGGAUGACGGCCUUCGGGUUGUAAACCGCUUUCGCCUGUGACGAAGCGGGAGUGACGGUAAUGGGUAAAGAAGCACCGGCUAACUACGUG